CCUACGGGGGGCAGCAGUGGGGAAUAUUGCACAAGGGGGGAAACCCUGAUGCAGCGACGCCGCGUGAGCGAUGAAGUAUUUCGGUAUGUAAAGCUCUAUCAGCAGGGAAGAAAAUGACGGUAGCUGACUAAGAAGCCACGGCGAACGACGUGCCAGCAGCCGCGGUAAUACGUCGGGGGCAAGCGUUAUCCGGAUUUACUGGGUGUAAAGGGAGCGUAGACGGCGGUGCAAGCCAGAUGUGAAAGCCCGGGGCUCAACCCCGGGACUGCAUUUGGAACUGUGCUGCUAGAGUGUCGGAGAGGCAGGCGGAAUUCCUUGUGUAGCCGUUACAUGCGUCGAUAUUAGGAGGAACACCAGUGGCGAAGGCGGCCUGCUGGACGAUGCCUGACGUUGAGGCUCGACAGCGUGGGGAGCCAACCGGAUUAGAUACCCCAGUAGUC
rnacentral:rRNA from 1 species